rnacentral:rRNA from 1 species
GCGCGAAAACUUUACAAUGCUGGCAACAGCGAUAAGGGAACCUCGAGUGCCAGGUUACAAAUCUGGCUGUCGAGAUGCCUAAAAAGCAUUUCAUAGCAAGGGCCGGGCAAGACCGGUGCCAGCCGCCGCGGUAACACCGGCGGCUCGAGUGGUAACCGUUAUUAUUGGGUCUAAAGGGUCUGUAGCCGGCCGGAUAAGUCUCUUGAGAAAUCUGGCAGCUUAACUGUCAGGCUUUCAGGAGAUACUGUCUGGCUCGAGGCCGGGAGAGGUGAGAGGUACUUCAGGGGUAGGGGUGAAAUCUUGUAAUCCUUGAAGGACCACCAGUGGCGAAGGCGUCUCACCAGAACGGACCUGACGGCAAGGGACGAAAGCUAGGGGCACGAACCGGAUUAGAUACCCGGGUAGUCCUAGCCGUAAACGAUACUCGCUAGGUGUCGGCCACGGUGCGACCGUUGUCGGUGCCGUAGGGAAGCCGUGAAGCGAGCCACCUGGGAAGUACGGCCGCAAGGCUGAAACUUAAAGGAAUUGGCGGGGGAGCACCACAACGGGUGGAGCUUGCGGUUUAAUUGGAUUCAACGCCGGAAAUCUUACCGGGACCGACAGCAAUAUGAAGGCCAGGCUGAAGACUUUGCCGGAUUAGCU